GUGCACAUAGCCUGUCUUCUCUUGAGAGCCAGGUCUUUUUACGGCUGCCUUUCUCAAUAGCAAGGCUAUGCUCACUGAGUUUGUACGUAGUCAAAGCUUUCCUUAAGUUUGGGUCAGUCACAGUGGUCAGGUGUAACCGAUGUGAAAUGGCUAGUUAGUUAGCGGUGGUGCGCGCUAAUAGCAUUUCAAUCGGUGACGUCACUCGCUCUGAGACCUGAAGUGGUUGUUCCCCUUGCGUUGCAAGGGCCGCGGCUUUUGUGGCGCGAUGGGUAACGAUGCUUCGUGGGUGUCAGUUGUUGAUGUGUGCAAGGGUCCCAGGUUGGGGCGAAGAGAGGGACGGAACCUACACUGUUACACAGAGCCCCAGGACCAGCUUGCUUAGGGGACUCUUCUCCAAGUUCAUCUCUCUGUAGGUGAUGGCUUUGUUAUGGACGGUUUGGGAAUCGCUUCCUUUAAGGUGGUUGUAGAAUUUAACGUCUCUUUUCUGGAUUUUGACAAUUAGCGGGUAUCGGUCUAAUUCAGCUCUGCAUGCAUUAUUUGGUGUUUUACGUUGUACAUGGAGGAUAUUUUUGGAGAAUUCUGCAUGCAGUCUCAAUUUGGUGUUUGAAUUCUUGGUUGGUGAGCGGACCCCUGACCUUAUAACCAUAAAGGGUAAUGGGUUCUAUAACUGAUUCAAGUAUUUUUAGCCAGAUCCCCCCUCUCUCUCUCUCUCUCUCUCUCUCUCUGUUAACCAGAUUGAAUUUAGCAGUGUCUCUCCUCCAGUCUGUAACACAUUCCUACCAUCUGUUGGAACUUGCUGGCAGGCAGGGAGGAGGAGGAAGCAGUGGUAUUUCCACGCUUUCUAUAAAUAGCUCAUAUGCCACAGUCAGUCAGUCAUCCAGUCAGUCAGUCUCAGUCGGUCAGUCGGCCGGUCAGCCGGUCAGUCACUAACCUCGAUCACUCCACACAAUGGAACCAUUCAGAUGCCCCGAGACAGAGAUCUAGUAUCAGUUUCUGAUCAGCGUCCAGAGGCAACUUCAACUUCCCCAAUCCCCCAUCAAUUCAGCUCGACAAGACAGAAUGUGAUGAUGUCACUUGUGAUGUCAUUUCCCAUUGGACCUGACUAAUUGCUAGACGUCCCUUCAAUGGAGGAAGAAACCAUCUGUUCACAGCAGAGCAGGAACAACACAUAGUGAAUAAGGUCAUUUCAAACAACAGCAUACGUUUACGACUACUGCAUCACCACAUCAUCACUGACAACACAACAUUCAGUACCAUAAAUAGGGUGAGUUUAUCGCACUUGGCCGUCUUCUGAAACGCUAUCAGAUUCGUAUGAAGCAGCUCUACAGAGUACCAUUUGAACAAAAUUCUGACAGUGAAACAACUGCGCUAUGAAUACAGAGUUCUGGAACUAGAUGCUGCUGCAGAGCAUCAUGAUUUCGUCUACGUUGAUGAGGUCGGCUUUAACAUAGCUAAAACAAGCCGCAGGGGAAGAAACCUCAUAGGACACCACCAUCGUCAAUGUCUCUGGACAGCGUGGUGACAACAUCACAAUGUGUGCAGCCAUUAGUCAGAAUGGUGUCCUUCAUCGCUUGUGAUGUUGAUGGGGUACUGUGGCCAGACCCAAAAUGGAGACAGGAUGCACCCUAAUUGUUUUUUUCUUUAUAAUAACAAGCCUAUUUGUUUUUCUUCUACUGUAUUUGUUUAAUCUGUUACUGUUCAUCCCGAAAUCUGGAUGAAAAUACAAAAUACUAUGUUUUGAGAAAGAAAUACAUUACAUUUUUCCCCCCUUGCAUUUCUGUUUAUAGUGUAAAUAUAUACUGAAUAUGCAUACAUACUGUAUAUAUUUUUGCAUAUACAUGUAUGUGUGAGUGCUUUGACAAACUGCCGUGGACUCCACUGCACACUGAACAUGCAAAAGACACAAGAUAGUAGUGUUUUCCAUUUGUCACAUCCGUGUGUAGUUGGCGUGUAUAAGAGCUAAUCAUUUGAUGGUUUGUGUGAAGAGUUUUGAUGCAAAAACACAAUUUUGAGAAUUUUGAGUUAAAAUCGUUUUGAAUGAAGUGUUUGGUUUUGCAAGAGAUGUGUGCCGUUUUGCAUGUUGUGUGUGCUUUAGGGUUUUGUGUGUAGAGUCUAGAGAAAAGGAGCCGUAGUUUCAGAAAUCAUGUGUAAGCAAUUGUCAAAAACUGUAAUAUGAAGUCAUACUUUGAUUAACUGGUACACGUUGGAUUAGACUGUGGAUCCACAGGCUUAUCUUUUCAGAGGAACCCACAACCCAGUCUCUUUUCUAUUACUCUCUUUUCUACUCUACUUCUCCAUUCUCUCUCUUUCUACCUCUCCCACUCUGUCUAUCAUACACAUGUCCACAGUGGUGGAAAAAGUACCUAAUUGUCAUAUUUGAGUAAAAGUAAAGAUACCUGAAUAGAAAAUGACUCAAGAAAAAGUGAAAGUCACCCAGUAAAAUACUACUUGAGUAAAAGUCUAAAAGUAUUUGGUUUUAAAUGUACUUAAGUAUCAAAAGUAAAUGUAAUUGCUAAAAUACACUUAAGUAUCAAAAGUCUAAGUAAAAG
rnacentral:lncRNA from 1 species